UUGUCUGUUUUCCUGCCACUUCUAAG
rnacentral:piRNA from 1 species